rfam:Lupinus angustifolius cultivar Tanjil contig_1835, whole genome shotgun sequence.
AGGUGUGCUCAUACCAGCACUAAUGCAUCAGAUACCAUCAGAACUCCGCAGAUAAGCAUGCUUGGGUGAGAGUAGUACUUGAAUGGGUGACCUCCUCGGAAUUCCUCGUGUUGCACCUC